UGAGGAAUAUUGGACAAUGGGCGAAAGCCUGAUCCAGCCAUGCCGCGUGAAUGAUGAAGGCCUUUGGGUUGUAAAAUUCUUUUAGUGGGGAAGAUAAUGACGGUACCCACAGAAAAAGCUCCGGCUAACUCCGUGCCAGCAGCCGCGGUAAGACGGAGGGGGCUAGCGUUGUUCGGAUUUAUUGGGCGUAAAGAGUGCGUAGGUGGUAUGGUAAGUUGAAAGUGAAAGAUCAGAGCUCAACUCUGAAACUGCUUUCAAAACUGCUGUACUAGAGUUUGAUAGGGGGUGAUGGAAUUCUUGGAGUAGAGGUGAAAUUUUUAAAUACCAAGAGGAACACCGAUGGCGAAAGCGAUCACCUGGGUCAAUACUGACACUAAUGCACGAAAGCGUAGGGAGCAAACAGG
rnacentral:rRNA from 1 species